UACAGAGGUCUCAAGCGUUGUUCGGAUUCAUUGGGCGUAAAGGGUGCGUAGGCGGUGAUGUAAGUUGGAUGUGAAAUCCCGGAGCUCAACUCCGGAACUGCAUUCAAUACUGCGUUGCUAGAGUACUGGAGAGGAGAUUGGAAUUCACGGUGUAGCAGUGAAAUGCGUAGAUAUCGUGAGGAAGACCAGUGGCGAAGGCGAAUCUCUGGACAGUUACUGACGCUGAGGCACGAAGGCCAGGGGAG
rnacentral:rRNA from 1 species